GCCCAGGUGGCGGAACUGGCAGACGCGCCAGCUUGAGGGGCUGGUGGCCGCAAGGUCGUGGAGGUUCGAAUCCUCUCCUGGGCA
rnacentral:tRNA from 1 species